rnacentral:rRNA from 1 species
AACGAACGCUGGCGGCAUGCCUAACACAUGCAAGUCGAACGAGACCUUCGGGUCUAGUGGCGCACGGGUGCGUAACGCGUGGGAACCUGCCCUUAGGUUCGGAAUAACUCCCCGAAAGGGGUGCUAAUACCGGAUAAUGUCUUCGGACCAAAGAUUUAUCGCCUUUGGAUGGGCCCGCGUUGGAUUAGCUAGUUGGUAGGGUAAAAGCCUACCAAGGCGACGAUCCAUAGCUGGUCGGAGAGGAUGAUCAGCCACACUGGGACUGAGACACGGCCCAGACUCCUACGGGAGGCAGCAGUGGGGAAUAUUGGACAAUGGGCGAAAGCCUGAUCCAGCAAUGCCGCGGGAGUGAUGAAGGCCUUAGGGUUGUAAAGCUCUUUUACCCGGGAUGAUAAUGACAGUACCGGGAGAAUAAGCUCCGGCUAACUCCGUG